rnacentral:lncRNA from 1 species
CUCAGCCUCCCAAGUAGCUAGGAUUACAGGCAUGCACCACCUGUACCAGUGUGUACCACCUGUGCACCGGCUUUUUUUUUUUUUUUUUUUUUUGAGACAGUCUCACUGUGUCACCCGGGCUAGAGUACAGUGGUGUGAUCUCGGCUCACUGCAACCUCUGCCUCCUGGGUUCAAGCGAUUCUCCUGCUUCAGCCUCCAAAGUAGCUGGGAUUACAGAUGUGCGCCACCAUGCCUGGCUAAUUUUUUUGUAUUUUAGUAGAGACAGGGUUUCAUCAUGUUGGCCAGGCUGGUCUCAAACUCCUGACUUCAAGUGAUCCACCCACCUCGGCCUCCCAAAGUGCUGGGUUUACAGGCUUUAGCCACCCUCAGCAAUUCAUCCCACCAGAACAAAAGGCUAACAUAGCAAACUGGUAAAUUUAUCUGCACAGAAAAACUGAACUACAAGGGAUGAGGUACUUAACUUCCCACCUGAAGACCCAGGAAUUUUUUUUUUUUACUUUUCUUCAUUGAGAUAGGGUCUCUAUCGCUCAGACAGGAGUGCAGUGGCACAAUAUUGGCUCAUUAAGUCUCCAUCUGGGAUCAAAUGAUUUUCCCACCUCAGUCUCCCGAGUAGCUAGCACAGGUGCGUACCACAUCAGUCUGGCUUAUUUUUCCACCCUUCCUAGAAACGGUAUAAAAUACUUAGCGAGCAUCUAAUUAAAACAGACCGUAACCUAAGAAGACGUAAGGUCAUAACCACAACUCCAAAACCAAACGCGCGCCACUACAACAACUCUGAAAAUAAACACACGCAACAACACACAAGCCGUCUUUUAAACUAGUUCAAUCACAGGACAGAAAAGCGCAAAAGCAGUCCCCCACUACCACAAGUUAUGCAGCCGAGUUUUCUCAUUCGGGGAAAUCGCGGGAGCAAACACAUAGUAAAAACCCUCCCCCAAGAAAAACACUUUAUCAGGACCAACAGCGUCUCUCCCCC